rnacentral:rRNA from 1 species
UGAACGCUGGCGGCAGGCCUAACACAUGCAAGUCGAGCGGAUGAAGGGAGCUUGCUCCUGGAUUCAGCGGCGGACGGGUGAGUAAUGCCUAGGAAUCUGCCUGGUAGUGGGGGAUAACGUCCGGAAACGGGCGCUAAUACCGCAUACGUCCUGAGGGAGAAAGUGGGGGAUCUUCGGACCUCACGCUAUCAGGUGAGCCUAGGUCGGAUUAGCUAGUUGGUGGGGUAAAGGCCUACCAAGGCGUCGAUCCGUAACUGGUCUGAGAGGAUGAUCAGUCACACUGGAACUGAGACACGGUCCAGACUCCUACGGGAGGCAGCAGUGGGGAAUAUUGGACAAUGGGCGAAAGCCUGAUCCAGCCAUGCCGCGUGUGUGAAGAAGGUCUUCGGAUUGUAAAGCACUUUAAGUUGGGAGGAAGGGCAGUAAGUUAAUACCUUGCUGUUUUGACGUUACCAACAGAAUAAGCACCGGCUAACUUCGUG